rnacentral:rRNA from 1 species
CCUACGGGUGGCAGCAGUCGAGAAUCAUGCACAAUGGGGGAAACACUGAUGGUGCGACGCAGCGUGGAGGAAUGAAGGUCUUUGGAUUGUAAACUCCUGUCAUGCGGGAGUAAAUUAAAAAGAUAGUACCAUAAGAGGAAGAGACGGCUAACUCUGAGCCAGCAGCCGCGGUAAUACAGAGGUGUCAAGCGUUGUUCGGAAUCACUGGGCGUAAAGCGUUCGUAGGCUGUUGCGUAAGUCGUGUGUGAAAGGCGCGGGCUCAACCCGCGGACGGCACAUGGAACUGCGAGGCUAGAGUAAUGGAGGGGGAACCGGAAUUCGCGGUGUAGCAGUGAAAUGCGUAGAUAUCGAGAGGAACACUCGUGGCGAAGGCGGGUUCCUGGACAUUAACUGACGCUGAGGCACGAAGGCCAGGGGAGCGAAAGGGAUUAGAUACCCGUGUAGUC